rnacentral:lncRNA from 1 species
AUUAUUACUUUUGAAAUGAAAAUACUAUCUUGAGUCUGUCUUGAUUGUACAUUAAGAGAUUUUCGAAACAUAUAUAAUAAUAAUAAUAACAACAACUUAAUGUUUCUCUAUUUUAGUGGUAAAAUGUAGAUGUUGUCUUCCUAGUGAGUAACACUGAAAACUAGGUCAUGUAGACAUUAAAUGAGUAUAUUUGUAGAUUGAAUAUUAUUAGAUCUUUGUAUCUUAUGCUUGUGACUGCCUUUCCUAGUUUUAUUUAUAGACUAUUAAGGAGAAUAAGGAAUUAGGCAAGGUUUCUAAAUUAGGCUUACUGACAACAUGAAGAAGCAUAUUUUAUAGAGAGUAAGUUGCAAACUUUUCAAGUAAGCAUAUAAUGUGUUUCAUUAUUAUAUGCAUAUAUAUCUUAUAUAUGUCUGAUAUGUAUUACUAUAUUCUUUUUAACAUUAGUUAUUUAUAGAUUAUAUGAAUGCUUUGCUUGCAUGUACAUGUGUGUCUAGUGCCCUUAGAGGCCAGAAAAGGGCAUCAGAUCCUUUAAAACUGGAGUUAUAGAUGUUGUGAGCUACCAAGUGGGUGCUAGGAAUUGAACCUGGAUCCUCUGCAACAGUAGCCAGCGCUCUUAACUGCUGAGCCAUCUCUCCAGUUCUUUCAUUUCCUUUUACUGUGAACUUCUCAAUUCCUCCUGCCAAAUAGUUCCUCAUUCUGUUUUCAUGUUGUAUAUGUUACAUUACCCUCUUAGACCUUCAGACCUCUUCUUUCCCUGUCAUAAUAUAAUCUUCUUCAACUUUAAUAUCUUACACAAGUAUAAAUUCUGCAUAUGAAAAUUAUAUGUUUUUGUGAAUUUGACUUAUUUUGCUUAAUGUAAUGCUUUCAAGCUCUAUAUGUCUUUUCUGGAAGCGAUAUUUUGUUCCUCUUUACCAGUGUAUAAAAUUCUAUUCUGUACAUUACCAAAUUUUCUUUUUCCAAACACCUUCCGGUGAAUGUAUAAACUGAUUUCAUAUCUCAGCUGUUAGAAACAGAGUAGUAACAAACAUGGACAUGUCAUUAUCUCUUUGGUGUGAUGACUUAGAAUCUUUUGAGUAUAUGCUCAGCAUUUCCUACAGUUUAGGGUUUAAAAACUUGUUUAUUUUGGGGUGUGUGUGUGUGUGCCCAUGCGUGUGCAUAUCUGCAUGUGUUGUGUAUGUGGGUGAUUAUGAAUGUGGAGGUCAGAGGAUACUUGAAAGAGUUGGUUCUCCUCUCCCACCUUGUGAGUUCUGUUGAUAGAAGUUGUGUUGUCAAACAUUGUAAGUACCUUUACGUGCUGAAUUGUCUCCCCAGUUCUCAGGUAUCCUCUAUACUGACUGCUGAAAUGACUGUGCCUGCUUAGCCUUCCCUCCGUAAUGUGCAAGUGUCCCUCUUUCUGCAUAGCCCUCAGCAGUUCCUAGAACUGGUUUCUUGAUGAUAGCUGUUCCCUUUGUGGUUUGAUGGAGACCUGUAGAAAUUUUUAUUAGGGUUCUCCUGAUGGCUGAUGAUAUUUCAACACUUUCAGAUACUUACCCAGUUUUAUUUCUUCCUUGAGAACUGUCUCUUUAGUUCAUCAGCCCAUUUAUUGAUUAUAUUUUAUGGGUGUUUUGUUUGUUUUUUGUUGUUUGUUUGGUUGUAUGGUUCCUCCUUAGAGGUUUUUUAUUCAUCCUUGUCAAAUACAUACUUUGCAAACUUUCUCUCCCAUUCUUUUUACCUUCAUGCAGGCCCAUUGUCAAUUGCUGCAAGUAUUUCUUUUCCUAUUGAAGUCUGUUUUAUAGUCAGGGUUAUUAUUGCUGAAAUGAAACACCAUGAGGAAAAAGCAAGUUGAGGAGGAAAGGGUUUAUUUGGCUUACACUUCCAUAGCACUGCUCAUCAUUGAAGGAAAUCAGCACAGGAAGUCAGCAGUGCAGGAAGCUGGAGGCAAGAGCUGAUGCACAGGCCAUGGAGAAGUGCUGUCAACUGACUUGCUCCCUUUGGUUUGUUUAGCCUGCUUUCUUAUAGAACCCAGGAUCACUAAAUAGCCCAGGGAUUGUCACAAUUCACAAUGAGCUGGGGCCUUCCCCAGUCAGUCACUAAUUAAGAAAAUGCCCAACAGAUUUGCCUACAGCCUGAUCUUAUGGAGGCUUUUUCUUUUUCUUUUUUUCUUUUUCAGUUGACCCUGUACUCUGCCCCUACCCUAGCUUGUGCCAAGUUGUCAUAAACCUAGCCAACACAGAGUUUCUUUUUCUUUUAAAGAAAUUUUCUAUCUAUAAAUGAUAGUGUUUUACCUGUUUUCUUCUAGCAGUUUGAUUAAAAGUUUUCUUUUGUGUUAUGUGUCUGUGUAUGUAUGCCAUGUGCUUGUGAACAGCAGAAGAUUAUAUUGGGUCCUCUGGAGCUGGAAGUACAGGUUGUUAUGAGCUACUCAGUUUCAGUGCUGGGAACUGAAUCUGGAUUCUUUGGAAGAGCAGAACUUCUCUUUGAUCCAUCCUGAAUUAAUUCUCAUAUAAGUUAAAAGAUGGAGCUAAUUUCAUUCUUGUGUGUGAGGAAAUUCAAUUUCCCCAGAAUCAUGUAUUAAAGAAGCUAUCUUUUCUCCAAUUUAUAUUUUUGACUGCUUUUAUUCAGAAUUAGGUAGCAGUAACUAUAUGGGUUUUUAUCUGGUCUUCUAGUCUCUUGGCGUACAUGUCUGCUUUAUCAGAUUCUUGUUCUUGUGGCUCUUUACUGGAUUUGAGAUUGGGGACUGAGGUAUCUCUAGCAUUGGCCUUUCUCUGCCAAGGAUUGCUUUAGGUAUUUAGAGUUUUUUGUGUUUCCAUAUUAAUUCUCUAGUACACUGAAAAAUGUCGUUGGAAUUAAAAACAUUUUUAUCUAUCAGGUAUCUGUGUCCGUGCUCACAUAUGUACCACAGUAUAUAAUAUACCAGAGCUUUGUAGAGUCGCUUCUCUCCUUUUGCCUUUCAGGGUUGCCAGGGAUCUAACUUAGGUUACUAGGCCCGGGCUUACACACCAGCUCCCUUGCCCAGUGACUUACUGUCAUUAAAAUGGAAUUUCAUUGAAUUUGUACAUUGCUUUUGGUGAUGUAGCCAUUUUCACAAUAUUAAUUCUGAAUACACUAUAGGCUCAUAGCCAUUAUAUGAUGCAAAUUACACUGAGCACAACUUCAUAAGCUGUCAUAUUUUUUUUGACAGCUAGAUACUAUUCAGAAGUCGAAGUCUAGGAUCUCCUGAGACUUAAGGUAAUCUGUUAAUUGUGACACUUCACGCCAUAAAAUUUGG